CUCAUUUGUACAUCUUGACGACAAGAAGCUAUGUCACUCUCUUGCCCACAUUCUAACUUGACUCGAACAGAAUCCUCUUGAUUCAACACCCUUGGCCUCGCUUUGCCCACCGUCUCUCGGCCUCUUUGCUCAAGAACUUUGAAAGGGCCCUCACGUUCUUGCCAAGUACACAAGUUAGAAUGUAAAACACUAUCACAGUGUUUGGAAUGUACCUUACUUGCAGCAUUUACUCGUCCCGACUGUCUUUGCAUCACUUCAUUUCCCUUGAAGCCCGAUGCACAACCCACCUUCCCCAAAGGUGUCGGCUCCACAGUCGAAUCUGCAGGCUUCAUAUCGAACUCUUGCGCCACUAACACUUCCGAAGGAGCUUUCAUAACCACUCAUUCUAUCGAGUCGAUGUUCCUCCCAUACGAAACAUCCUCGACUAGUUGGAUUGACGACAACACCUUUGCCCCUACUUUCAUAUUUCGAUGCACCGGAACAACAAUCUUUGUUAACGGACCGGUGAUAAUAUGGAUUUGAUCGGCCCAUGGAUACAGAACUGUUUGAAUCCUGUCAAGGAAGUUUAAGCCAAGUACAUAAUCGUAAUUAUCUAAUUCGAUUACCUCAAAGUCUUCCUUGCCCUUCCAUUUGCCGAUGUGUAGCUCCACAUUCCGAACUACACCCAUAGUUGGGGCCUCCUUGGAAUUUACUGUCUUGAUCUUCUUCUUCGAUUUCUUAAUCGGCAGACCAAGCUUCCUUGCAGCCUUUUCCGAUAUGAACAAGUUAGAUGCUCCCGUAUCAAUAAGAGCAUUCUGCUUCUGACCCGUAAUGUUGAUGUCUACAAACAUCAACCCUUCUUUACCAUUCCUCUUCUCAGGAAUGAGCACCAUCGAAUUGACCCUCGAGGGCUUUUCCUCAAUAGGCUUCGCCUCUUCCGGCUCAUCGCUUCUCUUGAUAGCCGAAAUUGAAGAUACCUUUGGGCAGUCUCUCUUCAUGUGCGGUCCUUUACAAAAGUAGCACCGUAACUUUCCCCUCUUUUCUUUCGGGCUAUUAGGUCUCCACUUCCCAUUUCGUGGUUUCCUAUCAUCACCAUCACUUCUACUACCAUUGCCAUCAUAGCUUUGUCCAUCUUCACCCUCCUCAUGGUACCCACCAUUGCCCCUCCUAUUGGGCUUGGAAGUUUCAAACCUGUCCCUUCUCGGAGCAAGUUCCACUAUGGACUCCGCUACCAUCAUGGCUUUGGUAAGUUCCCGAACUCCUCGACGUUGCAAUUCUUGCUUCGCCCAUGGUUUCAACCCAUCUGUAAAGGAGAAAAAUGCUUCUUUCUCGCUCAAAUCAGAGAUCUAGAGCAUGAGUUCACUGAACUCCCGCACAUACUCCCUAACUGUGCCUCGUUGCAUUAGCCGACGCAACUUCGCUCGAGCUUCAUCCUCGGCAUACUCGGGGUAAAACUGUGCUUUAAAUUCAUCUUGGAACUCCUUCCAAGUCCCAAUCUCAGUACCACCACGUCUCACAUCAGUGGACCUACGUCUCCACCAUAAUAAAGCAACGUCAGUGAAAUACAUAGCAACAGUGUUUACCUUUGUAACAUCAUCCUCGAUGUUCAUCGCACGAAAGUAUUGCUCCAUGGCCCAAAGAAAGUUGUCCACCUCACUUGCAGACCUUGCCCCUUUAAACGCCUUCGGCUUGGGCACAUCCAUCGCUUGUGGCUUCGGCUUUGAAGCCAACAUUCCAUUCCCUAUGGCAGCCUUGAAAAUCUUGAGCUCCCCCUUAAGCUCAUUGAUCUCCUCCUUCAAAACUGUCACCAUAGCCUCGAGAGCAUCGUUCUUUUCAACCAGCUUAUUCUCCGAGGAACCGAUAGUAUCCCAUACAAAUUCCCUGAGCUGUCCUUACAAUGUUCGCAACCCAUCAUUGUGUCUAUCAUCGACAUCGUCGAUCCUCUCCUUGACGUCUCCCACGGACUCCUCGAGAGUGACGACUCGAUCCUCCAAAGCUAAAAUUAAGUCCCUUGAUCGACUCGCUUUUCUGGCCCUUCCUCGAGUCUCCAUUGGCUCAUUCUGACCAACAACUUCUUUCGACAUCCCAACAGUGCCUUCGAACUAAAAGCUCCGAUACCAACUGUCACGGGGCUAGACCUUUGGUCUCGCAAACCGUGCGGCCUUAGGCGAUCCGUUCGUCCAAACUCGCCCAAGUCAGCCUUAACUCAAGUGAGGAUUCCUUAGAAUUCCUCCAAGGCACCAAUUUAUAUAGCGGAAGCGAUUGUGCCAAAAGAAGCUAAGCCAAAGAACAACAGAAAGCCACAGAAAAGAAUGCACACAAGGUGUUUGAGUAAAUGCUCUCAGAACUCUUAUUACUCUUAAGAAUUCAGAAUACAAUGGAAUGAGUACAAAUGAGGGGGAGGCUCUCUAUUUAUAGUUGAGCUCCCCAAAACCGACGGUCAAGAUACAAUUAUAUCGACGGACGAGAUUAACUAUAUCCCUUUAUUUUAGGGAUUUACAAGAUAAGCCUUAUCAAAUCUAAUCUAAUCUUUACAAGAUAAGAUUCCCUCUAUCUUCUAAGAUUAGUUACCAUAUCAGCCUGAAUCUCUUCGUUAUCGGGCCAACCGGGCUUCAAUCUGACAGGCUCCUCCAAUUGCUCAUUGAAUCGGGCCAAUUCUCGUGGGCCAAAUGAUCCCCAUCUGAGCAAUAGACCUCCAUUGGAUGCACUUGGUGCGAUGGUCACGGGCUUUGAACUGCGGCCCGUGACA
rnacentral:lncRNA from 1 species